UUCCGUAGGUGAACCUGCGGAAGGAUCAUUAAUGAUUGCGAAUAGUUACCUUCGGUGCUGGCUCUUGCAAGUGCACGUUGGUGGCUUUCAUCCAAUAUCCCUGUGAACCUUUGGCCUCUUGCUAGCUUCGGCUGGCAGAGGAAUUUUACACACUCGAAUGUAAUGAAAACUAUUGUCGUGCGCAAGCACUAAUGUACAACUUUCAACAACGGAUCUCUUGGCUCUCGCAUCGAUGAAGAACGCAGCGAAAUGCGAUAAGUAAUGUGAAUUGCAGAAUUCAGUGAAUCAUCGAAUCUUUGAACGCACCUUGCACCCUUUGGUAUUCCGAAGGGUAUGCUCGUUUGAGUGUCAUUGUACUCUCACACUCUCUGAUCUUUUUGGAUUCAGAGAGCGGUGGACUUGGGUGUUUGCUGCUUACCUUGCAGCUCACCUCAAAUGCGUCAGUGCAUCUCUUGGUUGGACAUAGUACGGCGUGAUAAGUAUCUUCGCCGGCACCUCGCAAGAGGGUGGCCGAUUGGGAGCUCUGUGCUUUCAAACCGUCUUCGGACAACUUUUGACAACUUGACCUCAAAUCGAGUAGGACUACCCGCUGAACUUAAGCAUAUCAAUAAGCGGAGGAAAAGAAACUAACAAGGAUUCCCCUAGUAACGGCGAGUGAAGAGGGAAGAGCUCAAAUUUUGAAUCUGGCGUCUUUGGCGUCCGAAUUGUAAUCUAGAGAAGUGUUUUCCGUGACGGACCGUGCACAAGUCUCCUGGAAUGGAGCGUCAUAGAGGGUGAGAAUCCCGUAUAUGGCAUGGACUGCCGUUGCUCUGUGAUACACUCUCGACGAGUCGAGUUGUUUGGGAAUGCAGCUCUAAAUGGGUGGUAAAUGCCAUCUAAAGCUAAAUAUUGGCGAGAGACCGAUAGCGAACAAGUACCGUGAGGGAAAGAUGAAAAGCACUUUGGAAAGAGAGUGAAACAGUACGUGAAAUUGUUGAAAGGGAAACGCUUGAAGUCAGUCGCGCCGGUCGGGAUUCAGCCUUGCUUCUGCUCGGUUUACUUCCUGUUGGGUGGGUCAACAUCAGUUUUGGUCGGAGGAGAAAGGCUUGGGGAAUGUGGCAGCAUUCGUGCUGUGUUAUAGCCCCUUGUUGUAUACUUCGGCUGGGACUGAGGACCGCAGCACGCCUUUGGCCGGGGUUCGCCCACGUACGUGCUUAGGAUGUUGGCAUAAUGGCUUUAAGCGACCCGUCUUG
rnacentral:rRNA from 1 species